CACGCAGGCUGCCGGGGGGAGGGGCUGCUGCUUAGCCCGGGCUUGUCCCCAGCCCCGGCAAGGCCCUGCCUCCGCCCGGCCAGACUGAGGGGACUCGCCACCACCUCUCCCGCGCUGCAGGGCUGAGCCUCUCUUUUUCCCGGCCUGACCAGCGCUUUUCACACACUCCGGGAGCUGCAUUUCUCCUGUCCAACGCACCCCCUUGCCUGCUGCCCGCGAUCCCUCCGCAUUGCCCCCACUGCCCUAUUCCCCGGCCACGCAGAGGGGCAGUUGUCUCCCCCCAAGCCAGGUGUCCACACCGGCCAGCAAACCAGGAGCAGGGAACGAACCUGCGUGGCUGUUUGCUCCACUCAGUGGUGCCCAGCCUGGACCAGCACGUGAGCCAUGGUCAUCCAGUGUUUCCUGUAUAGCUGCUUGCUUCCACCAUGCACCCUGACAGUUGUGCAAUGCUCUAGAGGAAUGGAAAGAACAGACCUGAAUUAUUUGAGAGUGGAAGGAGAAUAAAGGUUUAUCAUCUCCAGAAGAUCUUGGUUUAUGGACGCUGAACCAGUUUACUCUUACUCCCUUCCUGCUCACUAAGUUUGAAAUGGGUAUAAGCUAAAAUGCCUAACAAAGUACACAAAAUUCCAAGGACCUGAUUAAGUGACAGUGGAUCUUUAAACAACAGGUACCCUCCCAACAGAGUGAUGCUGAACUUGAAGUGUCCAAACAUAUUAUAUCUACACAUCUCUGUUAAGGAUCAUAACAAAUAGUCAAAAUAUUAAAAACAAACAGUGAAUCUCUUAUGCGUUCAUAUAUCUAUCCCCAAAAUGGACUACGGUUGUUCACAUCAAUUUCUAUUCACACAACUUUUCAAUUUUAUCUGUGCAAUUAUAAUUAACAACUUGCAUUUAUGUAACACCUUUCGCACAAAAUGCUUUACAAAUUAACUGAUAUUUGAUAUACAAACAGGAAUCACUUUACGCAUUUACUAUAUAGUCACCAAAACGUGUGUAAAUGUUUUAAUACUGUUAAUAUGGACACAAAGUUCUUACUACUAAAUUAACCAGAACUGUCUAUACAUACUGUGAGAAAGAACACUGAGAAACUGGAUUGUGCUUUUCCAGUUUUAACAUUCACAAUAAAGCAGGUAAAUAACA